rnacentral:rRNA from 1 species
UCAUUUUGGUAUUGCGGAAGAGAAAUCAAGUAAGGCUUUGGGGAGAGUACGCGCGCAAGCGAUAAAUUUAAAGGAAAUUGACGGAGGAACACCACAAGGAGUGGAGUGUGCGGCUUAAUUUGACUCAACGCGGGACAGCUUACCAGGCCCGAUAAUCGAGCGAGCGUAGUACGCGAUAGGUUAAAGAGUGGUGCAUGGCUGCUAUCGACAGUUGGGGUGACCUUAGGGUUAAUUCCGGCAAGUAGUGAGACCCCUGCAGAUAGUGGACAGGUAUUUUUAAAAUACAGGAAGGGAAGGGACAAGAGCAGGUCAGUGAUGCCCUUAGAUGGCCUGGGCUGCACGCGCACUACAGUGGUCAUUAUAAGU